GCAUAGCUCAGUCGAUAGAGCAUGAGACUCUUAACCUCAGGGUCAUAGGCUUGAGAACCAUGUUGGGCAACA